GACGAACGCUGGCGGCGUGCUUAACACAUGCAAGUCGAACGGUGAAGGGACCAGCUUGCUGGUUCUGGAUGAGUGGCGAACGGGUGAGUAACACGUGAGUAACCUGCCCCCUUCUUCUGGAUAACCGCAUGAAAGUGUGGCUAAUACGGGAUAUUCUGGGUCUGUCGCAUGGCGGGCCCGGGAAAGAUAUUGCUUCGGUGGGGGAUGGGCUCGCGGCCUAUCAGCUUGUUGGUGGGGUGAUGGCCUACCAAGGCGGUGACGGGUAGCCGGCCGGGGAGGGGGGGCGGUCAAACUGGGACUGGGACACGGCCCAGACUCCUACGGGAGGCAGCAGUGGGGAAUAUUGCACAAUGGGCGCAAGCCUGAUGCAGCGACGCCGCGUGAGGGAUGGAGGACUUCGGGUUGUAAACCUCUUUCGCCAGUGAAGCAGGCCUGCUCCUUGUGGGUGGGUUGACGGUAGCUGGAUAAGAAGCGCCGGCUAACUACGUG
rnacentral:rRNA from 1 species